GCCUGGCCCUAAAUCUUGAUGCUCGACAUUACCUGAGCAUCCGCCUGAGAACUACGAGCACAAACGCUUGAAACUCUAAGGACUUGGCGGUGCCCCAAACCCACCUAGAGGAGCCUGUUCUAUAAUCGAUGAUCCACGAUACACCCUACCAUUCCUUGCACAAACCAGCCUAUAUACCGCCGUCGCCAGCCCACCCCUCCUGAGGGCCCAACAGUGGACGCAAUAGCCCCACCCCGCUAACACGACAGGUCAAGGUAUAGCCCAUGGAGUGGCAGUAAUGGGCUACAUUUUCUAAAUUAGAACACACGGCAAGGGGGCAUGAAACUGCCCCCAGAAGGCGGAUUUAGCAGUAAAGUGGGCUAAUCAAACCCUCUUUAAGCCGGCCCUGGGACACGU
rnacentral:rRNA from 1 species